rnacentral:tRNA from 1 species
GCAGUGGUGGUUCAGUGGAAGCCUCCUCACCUUCCAUGCGGGAGACCCAGGUUUGAUUCCUGGCCAAUGCA